CAAUAGCGUAUAUUAAAGUUGUUGCAGUUAAAAAGCUCGUAGUUGGAUUUGUGGUGUAUGGUGUGUUCCGGGCACUUGUUGUCUGAGUAACUUGCCAUUGCCAUCCUUGGGUGGAACCUGUGUGGCAUUAGGUUGUCGUGCAGGGGAUGCCCAUCGUUUACUGUGAAAAAAUUAGAGUGUUCAAAGCAGGCUUAUGCCGUUGAAUAUAUUAGCAUGGAAUAAUAAGAUAGGACUUUUUUGCUAUUUUGUUGGUUUGCGCGAGAAGGUAAUGAUUAAUAGGGAUAGUUGGGGGUAUUCGUAUUCCAUUGUCAGAGGUGAAAUUCUUGGAUUUUUGGAAGACGAACUACUGCGAAAGCAUUUACCAAGGAUGUUUNCAUUAA
rnacentral:rRNA from 1 species